GUGGCAGUAGGAGUGUGUGUCUCAGCCAGGGGGAGCCCCAUUGCUUGUGACCUCUCCCCACACUCUGCCUCUCCUGCAUCCAGGCAGAGGGCCGUGCACGAAGUGGGGAAAGGCUCACCGCAGAUUUCUUAACAGGCUGGUUGCGCAUCCUGGUAAACGGUGUGAAGAUAUUGACUGACCAGAGACAGAAAGCUUUACAAGGAACACAAUUCAAGUACACAUGUUUGAGCCUGGCUCUCGCUGACAGCCAGGAGCUAAUGACACUUGUGAGCAGAAGAAGUCAAUUCAAACAAAUCAUGACCAGAGCUGACAGAAGGAAGACGCGAAGAAACCAGCACGGAAUGGCUCCAGGCAGCCAGCAGGGGGCGAGCAGAGACAAGACAGGACAAGUUCCCUGCAGGGAAGUCGUCAUGCCUUCAGCUUCUUAUGAGGUUUCUGAGUCAGCUCCUGGCUGUCAUCAGAGAACACGAAGGAGGGGCCAGGGAAGUUCCAGGAAGUCAUUCCAAAGUGAUUGCUUGGUUUCCCUUUUCACGACCUGCAGAUCCCAACACUCCAGGAUGGUGCAGGACAUCAGUCUCAAGGUAAUUGGUCACAGAGGCAUCUUCCUUCAUGUUCUCUGGGGGAGAGACUGACUGUGGGAAUCAGCCUUGGUUGCAAAGGGAAGCUGAGAGAAGAGAGCAGCGCAGGGCACGGACAUGCCAGCCCAGUUACUGGAGAUAUCUGCCGCUGGAGACGGGUUCAGAGCCUAGUUUAAUAUCCCGAAGCAGGAAAGCUGAGAAUGUGCUGGAAAUGCUUGUUGAGGCCGACGUGUCAGGCAGCCCAUCAGUGCAGGAUGGAGCCUCGGUUGCAGAGAACUGCAGGGAGGUGGUGUGGAAGCUCAUUGGCUGUAAGAACUGCUCCGCUGCGACAGUGCUGCUGGAGGUGGUGGUGAACAGAUUUCUGAUGCCAAGCUGAUCAUCGUCUCAGCACCAGCAAAGACAUGCUAUUCCCGUCCCUGACGAGCAUUUCCUUCUUGAGAAAGUGAUUUUGAGGGGCUGCAGAUGUACUUGGAGGAAGGUUUGGGCCGGGACAGAUGACGUGCCCAUGUGGGAGCUGGACGGCCCCUCUCUGGGUAGCUCCCUGGGAACUCCCAUGUCCGCCUCCCGCUGCCUCCUGAUCCAAGGUGGAUGCACUUCAUUUGAGGCCUGGUCUUUCGUCCUUCCCUCUCCUCUUCGGGGACCACUUUGUCUAGUGCUAGACUCAUUGUGCUUCCCCCUUGGGGCUUCCUUCAGCCCUCAGCCGAUUCAAGACUUCAAAAGGAAGUUGGACAUGGAGAGGAAAAAAGAAAUGAAACCAGGAAGGAACCGCCAAGAAGCACACAACGCGUUUAUGCUGCCUUAACCACACGCUUGACUCUAAAUGGGUUUAAAAAUUCUUACUUGUGUUAGCCCAAGAAAGUUUCUGCAGCCGUCUUUUUGGUUUAAACAAUCAAAUACUCAAUAAUUCUGGGGCUGGUGGGCCAGGAUAUGGGUUACUCAGAUCUUCUGCUUCACCCCAUGCUCGGUCCCUGAGCCAGUUCUGUCAUUGGUUCUUUCAGACCAGGGCAGGAAAAGUCAAGAAAGCAAAAGCGGAUUCUAGGCUGUGGGGUUUGCUGUUUGCUAGCCCCCUGGCAGAGAUGCCUGUCCUUGCAGUCCUGAACUGGUGGCCAAGUGUGCAUGCAUGCACGUGCAGGUGUGUGCAUGUGCAGGUGUGCAUGCGUGUAUGUGCGCACACACAUUCAUGCUUGUACAUGUUUGUGUACACGCACACUUUUUUCUGCUUUCAAUUUCAAGCUGUUGCCUCCCUGAUGUGUCUGUUUAGUGACUUGAGCCAGAAAGAUUCCCGGUUCUAUGUGGGAUGAGAAUGAACGCAGGCAGGUCUCCACAGAAGUGAGUAAAGUAGAGCUGAGAAGAAGGACAUUGUCUCAUGCCAGCCUGUCCAAUAGCCACUUUGCCCCAGCCCUGCCUCAAGCCCCAGAGAGAUGACAAGGCUCUCUCUGUUUGUCGACUCCUUGAAGCUCAGAAAGGUGGGUCAAGAGGUGCCCGUCAAGCGUUUAGGCAAGCACAGGACCCUGAUCUUUACUAAGUCUCCACAUCUCUCUUGCACAGCCCUGGGCUCAGGGCUUGGUCCCCUCUGGGCAGGCCAUCCAGACUAAGUGACAGUCAGAUUGUGUGUGGGGAGGCUAGAGACAUCCAUUCUUCAUGGAUCAGCCUGAAUGGCUGGACAGAUCUUGCAAAUGGAUUGUGUAAGACAGAGUGUGGAAGAGGAGGCUGUGAUCAGUGGCUUGGAGAGCAGAGUGUGGUCAGGCGCUAAACCUAAGGCUUUUCUGGGAAGAGCUGUUAAGAUUAGACUGUUCUCCCAAAAAGCCAAUAAUUCUGAGUGUCUCCAUUAAUGCCUAGGUAGCCCAUACUCUCACCCAGCCGGUGCCCUUCAGCCUGGAACCUUUGGAUGGAGGAUUGGACCUUGUGACCUUCAAGUUCCCUUCCGAACCAAAUAUGCUCUAACCCAGGUAUGCUGUUAUUUUCUUAUAUAAUGGGAGCAAGGAGGCACUGGGAUGCCCAAGGCGUCUAGGGUCUCACCAUGACACCCCUGGUCUCCUGCCCUAGUGGUCUGGCUGGGUCCUGCACAGAGCCCUCUCUUGUAAUCAGCCAGAUCUCCAAGAGCCACGGCUCCACACAGACCUACCCAUAGAUGGACGGCAGGGUGUGCCCUGCACACAUUCAUCCCUGCCCCGCUCAGCUUCCUGCCCCUCUGCCUUCGUUCAGCCUUGGUCCCCAGGAGAAGCAGACUCUUGGAGGCAAUUCCAACAGGCUGCAAUUCCCAGUCCAGCUCCGGCCCUUACUUCCUGCACGUCUCAGCCUGGCCUCCUCAUCUGUAAAGCAGGGGUGAAUACUACCUCUUUGGAUGCAGUGGAGUGUGGUGGGUCAUGGUGGAUCAGAGCAUGGGCUUGGAGCUAGACCACAUGCCACUCGCCAGCAAUGUGUGUCGCACAUUUGAAAACUUCACAUUUUCCUGCUGCCUCCACAUCCCCAGACACAGGUGGUGUGCACCUGCCUGGGUGACCCAGUGCACUAUUGUCACGGGGCCGGCCGUGCCACAAGUUCCCCUGACUGUGACCUAGUAACGUUCAAAUGCACUGGUGGAAUUCCCUCGUGUCUGUUUUUGGUGUGCUUCACUCUGAUCCCCAAUAAAAAAGCCUCACCCGCUCUCUGCCCCCCACCUGCUUGGUGGAGCCUGGGCCCUGGGUGCUCCUCCCAUGCGACCCCUCCCAGCGGAGUGUGCAGUGACUCUGUGGGGCCUGUGAGUCUGGGAACACCUGUUGCCCUGCGCCUCUCCUGUGCCUCCUCUUGCGGCUGCCCCCGAUUGACCAUUACCUAAAAUAAUCACACACACAGUGUGGUUCUGGACAAAUCACUUCCCUGCCCCUGCCCUCUGUUUCCUCCCCUGUCAAUGCACAUAGUAAGAAUAAGCUGCUCUUUGGGGCACAGAGAGGACAGAGUUGA
rnacentral:lncRNA from 1 species